rnacentral:misc_RNA from 1 species
UUUCACUUCUAGAAAUGAUGUAAUUGGAGUUGAUUUUUGUAAGUAAUUCUGUAUUAUUAGGUUUGAUUGGAGAUUAGAUUGUGGACGACUACCUAAUCUUUUUCUGCUGAAACUAAGAUAAAUUUUCUUAAAGAUUAGUACUAUGGAAGAGUUAAAACUUUCUGAACCCAAUUUCCUACUGUUAUUUUCUUAAUUUGUUUAGCUUUGUGAUGG